GCCAGAGGAUGCAAGCGUUAUCCGGAAUCACUGGGCGUAAAGCGUGCGUAGGCGGCUUGUUAAGUGAGAUGUGAAACCGUGUGGCUCAACCAUAUCGUCGCAUUUCAUACUGGCAGGCUAGAGGACGGCAGAGGCAAGUGGAAUUGGUAGUGUAGCAGUGAAAUGCGUAGAUAUUACCAGGAACACCAAUGGCGAAGGCAGCUUGCUGGGCCGACCCUGACGCUGAGGUACGAAAGCGUGGGGAGCGAACAGG
rnacentral:rRNA from 1 species